rnacentral:lncRNA from 1 species
AUUUCUCCUGUAAUUAUUCUAAUUUUUCUUAUUGCAAGUAUUAUGAUCUUUCUCGUGCAAGUGUUCUUAUCUUUCCUAUUGCAAGUGUUCCGAUCCUUCCUAUUGCAAGCUUUCUAAUCUUUCCUAUUGCAAGUGUCCUGAUCUUUCCUUACUGCAAUUUUAUCUCUACAUUUGAUUUGAAUAUGAGGAACUUUGAAUUGUUCUAGCCUUGCAUUUGAUAUAUCUCUUAUUUAGACAUAUCGAUCUGAAUCUGUGCAACUUCUGAGAUUCUGAUCUUUCUAUCUCGUUAUGAUUAUAACUUCAUGUAUUGACCUUUGAUUUGGACAAAAAUUAUUUGAUCAGAAUAUAGACUCAUAAACCUUUCUUUUGAUAGCUUUCUUGAGUAUAUUGGAGCACGAUUGAUAGUUUGAAUCAUUUGUUCAAUGUGCCUCUUGAAUUCUGCCAAAAAUCGAGCUUUGGUCGAUUUCGCAUAUUCUGGUUUCAUUCCUUUGGAAAUUGAUAUCCUUUAGCUUUCUUAUUCAAUUGAGCUUUAUAUUACUGCUUUGAAUUCUUGUAUGCUCUUGUCCUACAUGUAUUUGGAUACCUAAAUCUGUUAUGUAAACUUCAUGUUUGUAUCGUAAUGUUUCAUAAAGGCACAUGUACAUUUCGUUGUUCCGCAUGUGCUUCCGAUAUAUCCAAAUUUAUUGUUCACAAUAGCCUUUUGUACUCU